CUGGGAGGAAUGAAGUGAGCGUGAAUGGCUCGUGGCAAGAGGAGGCAGAGUGGGAACUAACUGAAUGCAGUGUGAUAAAAUAGAAGACAGAAGGGAUGGAUGGUGUGGUGCGAGUGUUUGGCUGGGUUAGGGCACUGUGAAGACGUGUAACUGAGUAGAGACGAGUGAAAGGCUGGCUGAGGCAGUGGUUGAGUUUUAGGACAGACAGAUGGGGGAAUAAAGUGUUUAGAGUGAGUUUGGGCACAUUAUGGAUGGAAGUGAAGACGUGAAGGGAAUGUGUGGUGUUGGUCAUUUAGAGAUAAUUAGUGAAAAAGAUACUGCUGUUCAUGUUUUUGUGAUGGUAUUGGUGGUGGUGGUGGUAAGAAUACGUAGAAUGAAGAGUGAAAGGCUGAUUGAGGCAGUGAAGGAGUUUGCUUAGGGCUAUCUUGCUUGUUAGCUGUAGGGAUAAUUAGUGAACAAGUAAACAAGGUACUGCUUUGUUCAUGCUUAUUUUUGUCCAUUACAGGCGUUGACGAUCCAAAGGCCUGACUCCACAGCGGUAAUGAGCCUCGUCUACCUUGCACUUUGACGGACAACGCUCACUACCAACACUUCUAGAAGCCUCCGCCACCGCCGUAAGAUUGCAUCGCGCACACGGUCUACUCUUAACGACCGCCACCGCCACCGCCGCCGUUGAGGGAGAUGGCUGGAUGAGUGGGUGAUAGAGGCGGAGGAUUGGAGACGAGAACCUACAGAUGACGGCAGACACGGAAGAUUCCACUAACCAGGAGUUGGUGAUCCGAAGCCGUGACUGCAGCGAUCCCGUGCGGCCUGCACCAUCAGGGAAGGACUCUCUCUGGCUUCGCACUGCGCCUACAUUGACCGUUGCCGCCGCCGCUGCUACCGCUACUCGGAGGGGGCACUGCCUCGCAUUGGGCCUUCACUGCCGUCCCGCUAAUACACGUGUCGCCGUCGCAGCUACUGGCACUGAGGGACUUCGCCUCGCAGCGGCCUGGCAAACACCUGCUACACCACCACCACUAACUCCACCACCGCAGUCCAGAGAUUCAGCUUCGCAUAGCAGACAUCCUCCUAUUCAACGCUUGCUGCCACUACCACCUCAUUAUGGUGGUGUCACUGUACUUGGAUCUGUUGUCUCUACUGAAUAAUAAUGUGUAAAGAAAUCUUUUUGUUUCGGUAAAUUUCCUUUCCUGGGAAUA